GGCUCCGCUCCGCUCGGCGGCCCGGCCUGGCACCGGGAGCGGUCUUACGACUCAGCGGCAGUUCUCCUGCAGGAGUUGGCAGCACGUGGCUUGGACAGCACUGGGCCAUUAUUCCUGGACACCUGCUGUCCUGGGAUAGAGAAUCACAGAAUCGCAGAAUCAUUUG